rnacentral:rRNA from 1 species
CGAGCGAGGCGUCCCGCAGGGNAUAGUCGAGCGGCGAACGGGUGAGUAACGCGUGGAUAACCUGCCCUGAGGCGUGGAACAACCAGGGGAAACUCUGGCUAAUACCGCAUGAUACCGAGAGGUCAAAGGGGGCUCGCAAGGGCUCUCGCCACAGGAGGGGUCCGCGUCCGAUUAGCUAGUUGGUAGGGUAAUGGCCUACCAAGGCGACGAUCGGUAGCCGGCCUGAGAGGGUGAUCGGCCACACUGGAACUGAGACACGGUCCAGACUCCUACGGGAGGCAGCAGUGGGGAAUUUUGCGCAAUGGGCUAACGCCUGACGCAGCAACGCCGCGUGGAGGAUGAAGGUCUUUGGAUUGUAAACUCCUGUCAGCAGGGAAAAAGCGACUCGGACUCAUACUCCGGGGAGUUGAUUGUACCUGCAGAGGAAGCCCCGGCUAACUCUGUGCCAGCAGCCGCGGUAAUACAGAGGGGGCAAG